GAUCAUGGCUCAGAACGAACGCUGGCGGCAUGCCUAACACAUGCAAGUCGAACGAGACCUUCGGGGUCUAGUGGCGCACGGGUGCGUAACGCGUGGGGAUCUGCCCUUUGCUUCGGAAUAACAGUUAGAAAUGACUGCUAAUACCGGAUGAUGUCGUAAGACCAAAGAUUUAUCGGCAAAGGAUGAACCCGCGUAGGAUUAGCUAGUUGGUGGGGUAAAGGCCUACCAAGGCGACGAUCCUUAGCUGGUCUGAGAGGAUGAUCAGCCACACUGGGACUGAGACACGGCCCAGACUCCUACGGGAGGCAGCAGUGGGGAAUAUUGGACAAUGGGCGAAAGCCUGAUCCAGCAAUGCCGCGUGAGUGAUGAAGGCCUUCGGGUUGUAAAGCUCUUUACCAGGGAUGAUAAUGACAGUACCUGGAGAAUAAGCUCCGGCUAACUCCGUG
rnacentral:rRNA from 1 species